AUGUAUAUUAAUAUGUCCAAGAGUCUGAGAACUCCUUGAGUAGAAACAUACUCUGUAUCUUAAUUCAUUCCUGAUUUUUAACACAGUGAUAGGACCAUGGCAUCAUUUUGGCAAGCAUACUUCAGCAUGUGCUACAGAUUAUAGUCUGGGAAAUGCUGAGCUACCAUUCACAAAUCCUCCUGAGAAAUACAUAGAAGUUCUACAGACUGGCAAGGCCAUCUUCAGAAUUACAAAAAUUUCGUGAUAUCAAAAGAGUAGCGAAAUAUUCAGGUUCCUUUUGUCCUUCUGCGCUCUGCUUUCCAGACGUUAAUGUGUUUGGAUAUCGUGCACAAUCAGCACAGAAUACAUCGGAAGUUGCGUCUCCAGAGGAGUGAUGCAGAGACCUGAUCGGGUCACUUAAACUCUUGGGGGGGUUACAAAAUGGAAACAUUGGGGAACCCCAGCAGGCUGAGAGAAAAGGCCGUGAGAAGAAAAAUAGGAUGUCUUUCAUCAGUGAAGUGACCAUGAAGUUCCAAUUACUGAGAUAUUUAAAAGGCCAGCUUAAGAAAAGGCAACAUACUGAAAAGAAAGCAAAGAAAAAAUGUUCGGGCCUGAGUAAACAGUAUUCCUCUGCAAAUUGGUGUCAACAGUCAUUAAACCUUCAUAUGAAAACAGCAAAGAGAAACUUAUAGUUCACUUUGGUUUCAGAACUUGCUAAAGCAAGGACACAGAACUGCUUUGCUCUGAGUUUUAAACAUUUUAGUUUCUCGUGUUUUUCGUGGUGUUUUGCAUAAAAUACUGUUAAGGACAUUGACUGGCAAACAGAAAUUACCCCAUUGUCUGAAGGAGGCCAUCCAGCAUGAGGGUUAAGGCUGGGCUUUGCGGAGUGAGCUGGGAUGGUAUACCUGCCCAAACACACAUCACUUGUCUGCUGAUGCAUGAGAUUUUCAUCAACCUCAGCUGUGCUGCCCAGGCCCGCUCAGAAGACGCAGAAGAACGCCCAUGAAGGAUGGCGCCCGGUGGCUGGCUCACCGAGGGUCCCUUGUGAGAUGAGUGCCAGGUCUGCUCAGUAACCGUGAUAUGUCACCCCCUCCCCCCCCCCCGUGCUUACUCACCCAGUGGGGGCUCUGAUCUCCAGCUCCAAAUGCUGAUGUGAGGAUCGAACGAGGCCCUCCCUGCAGAGCAGUUAACACACUAUUGUUGAUGUCAUCAUUUCUCUCCUUUAUUUGCACUAGUUCCCCUUGAUUUGCACCCACAAUUUACAGAGUACCCUGUCGGACACGGGUGCGGGGGGAAAGAUGGUGAACGAAUCCUUGUGUGUUCUUAAGUGCGGCCUACGUGGGGAUCAUCACUGAACAACCAGCUGGGGCAUUCCAACCUACUUAUUAUUCAGUAUCACUUCCAAAUCUGUUGGAUGAGUCUCUUCAGACUCAUCUUCCAUGUGAAAAAGUGUGCUUCUCUUUCCCGUGUAGGAUGAAGAGCUGUGUCCACAGGGGAGUCAACAAUUUGAGGGAUUCAUCCACCUUGCUACUGACUGAUCUACAUUCCAAGAGUCAAAAACAUGGGACACGUCAAGGGGAAUUUAUACCGUGUGUAAAUUCUUAUCACAUGGAAACAAUCUGGGUUUACAAAAGACCUAACCACUUCUGCACUGAAUGGGAGAUGUAGAAACCAGAAUGCCAUUCAUAUCCAAACAAAUGACUGAAGCCUUGGGAAUGAGUCUCUUUACUAAGUGUCCUGAGUCAGCACAUAGAGAACCAUUUUAAUAGACUCCUGGUGCUGUCGGUCCAUGUCUAGUUUUCACAGGCUGGUGCUGUUUUGGGUUCACCUUCAUCACAGAAUCGUGGGUGGUUAAAUCCCCAGUUAAUGCUUAGUUAGCCAAACUUCCUGCUUAGGCAUUAAUGUUCUUUACAAGUCAAUAGUGAGGUCCUAUCCACUCUGUCAUCCUUGUGUCACCAUGUCUCUAUCUUUUUGGAAUGAUUAAAUUCCCAAAGGAACUUAAUACAUUGAUUUCAUGCCCAGUGUAAUUCACCUAUGAAUCACAAUGCAAAAAGCCAGCAGGUGUAGAGAUCCAAGACUACACAAACUGAUAGAUGGGAAGAGAGAUCCCCUGCAUGGGUGAAUAUUUCAGAAGCAAAAUAAAUGCAUGGGAGAGCUAAACGUAACAUGACGUGCAAAUUUCUGAAUUUCUGGCCACAGUUAGUGAGAGGAAUUAAAGGCUGUGAUGUUUGGCUCAAAAAAUCCUAGGCUGAUUUUUCUUUGUGAUAGAUGAUGCUGUGUUAAUGACGAAAUGACGAAGCAACGCUUUGAGCAUGCUGAGAACUUCCCAACUGUCUCCCAGCUACUUCUGUUUUAUCCUCACAAAAGCAUAUGAGACAAAUACAUAACUCAGGAAGCUUAACCCUUUUGAACAGACCUCACAGGUAUAUGGAUCAGGCUUGAGCCAAAUUUAUGUCAGAGCAAGCUAAGUAAACGGAUUGUCCGUGGCUAAUUGCCUCUGGAAUAUGGAUCAUAAAAAUGCAAUAAAGGAGGAAUCAAAAUCAACACACAUAAAAAAGCUCAAAAAACAUGAAGCCAUCUGGUUUUUGAAGGACAGAAUUAUUUGAUAUAAGCAGUGUUUUGUUGCACUGGUGAAAACCCCUCCUGGCUUCUGCCCUCAGAAUUUGACAGAACAGCUCUU